rnacentral:rRNA from 1 species
GAUGAACGCUGGCGGCGUGCCUAACACAUGCAAGUCGAGCGAAGCGAUCUGAUGGAAGUUUUCGGAUGGAAGUCAGAUUGACUGAGCGGCGGACGGGUGAGUAACGGGUGGGUAACCUGCCUCAUACAGGGGGAUAACAGUUAGAAAUGGCUGCUAAUACCGCAUAAGCACACAGGACCGCAUGGUCCGGUGUGAAAAACUCCGGUGGUAUGAGAUGGACCCGCGUCUGAUUAGGUAGUUGGUGGGGUAACGGCCCACCAAGCCGACGAUCAGUAGCCGACCUGAGAGGGUGACCGGCCACAUUGGGACUGAGACACGGCCCAA